rnacentral:tRNA from 3 species
GGGGCUGUAGCUCAGCUGGGAGAGCAUUGCGUUCGCAUCGCAAGGGUCAGGGGUUCGAAUCCCCUCAGCUCCACCA